GCGGAUAUGGCGGAAUUGGCAGACGCGCUAGAUUCAGGUUCUAGUGAGGUUAAACUCAUACAGGUUCAAGUCCUGCUAUCCGCACCA
rnacentral:tRNA from 1 species